UUCAAACUGUUUAUUUCUGUGAUUAGAGAAGUGAUAUAGCCGGACCGCGCCUGCGCGCUGAUCACCGGGCCGGGCGGCGCCUGCGCACUGUGUGGGGGUGAGGGGAAACCCGGGCCGGGCGGCGCCUGCGCGUUGCGGCCCAGACUGGUGCCUGAGGCGGCGGGCGGCGUGUCGGGUUGUAGACCGCUCGGGGCCAGAGGGCAGGAUGCGGUGGCCGGGAAGUCGUCUUUCCGUUCCGGACACGUACGCUGGAGCCCCUCCCCCUUGCCCGCGGCUUUGCGUCCCUUACGUUCAGUUACCCGCCAUCCGAGAACGUUAAGUGCAUAACUCCAGAAAUAAGCGAUGGCAGAGUUUUCAAGCCGGGGGCUCCCGGUUCCUGAGCCUAGCGGUUCUCGCGGCGGCGCCCCCCAGAAGCCGUCCAGGGCUCCCGGCAGGUGCAGAAGUGGACUUCUCCACUUAGUGAGGGGAGGAGGCUGCCGCGGCGGCUGGCGCCGCGGGCCGAGCGAGCCGUGCGUCCGCGAACUUGUGAGGAGAGAGCGGCGCCGGGGCCCCGGCACAGGGCCGAUGCGCGCUGCGUUACCGCGGGGGCGGAGGGCCGGACGGAAAACGCGUUCCCGCGAGCGGCGGGAGGCCCCUGAGGACAGAGCCUCGAAAACGCGAGCGGCCCUGGGGAAGCUGCUGCCGCGUUUCCCGCAGGGCCGAGUGGACCCGGGAGAGAGCUCUUGCGGAAGACGUUGUCGAGAUCUACAGAGGACGAGAGGGAAGAAACCGGGACAGAACCAGAAGCGGGGGCUUGACCAAAAUGUGCAGGGCCGGCGAGCCCGGGGCGCCGGGGGGCCACCCCCUCGCGUGAGUCAAACACUGAGCAGCAGCUUCCGGCCUGGACCUGCGUCUGACGUGCAGCCUCCAGCCUGGUCAGCGCCCGAUGCCCAGGUCACCCGAAGCCCUGAGGCUCCGCGCACUCGCCACACCUCGUCUCGCACAGGCACCGCUUGGUCUCGGUCACGCCGGGAUCCUAAGAGAGAAGAGUGGACAACUUCAAUGCCAAGCAAACCAUUCCAGUUUUCUUUAGGACAGCAAUUGCUUUGUGGAGGCCUAACCCAGCUGUGAAGAGGCUGGGACCCUGAGCCCCACCAGGAGGUACAGUGGCCCUUCCACAUUCACCUCCAUCUCUCCCCUGCCUUGAGACCUCAUCUGUCCCUUCUUAGGAUAUCUGCAGGGGCCGGCAUUGCAGCACUGCAUGUUAAACUGUCACCGCCUACAAGGCCAGCAUCCCAUAUGGGCACUGGGGUUUGAAUCCCAGCUGCUCCACUUCUGGUCCAUCUUCCUGCGAAUGUGUCUGGGAAAGCAGCAGAGGAUGGCCCAAGUGUUUGGGCUCCUGCACCCAUGUGAGAGCCUAAGAUGAAGCUCCUGGCUCCAGCCUGGCCCAGCCCUGUUUUGUGGCCACGUGGGGAGUGAACCAGCAGAUGGAUGAACUUUCUGUCCCACCUUCUCUGUAACUUUGCCUUUCAAAUAAAUACCACUUUAAAAAAAAAAAAAAAAAGCUG
ensembl:lncRNA